rnacentral:rRNA from 1 species
UACGAAGGGGGCUAGCGUUGCUCGGAAUGACUGGGCGUAAAGGGUGCGUAGGCGGUUUGGUAAGUCUCGUGUGAAAUCUCCGGGCUCAACUCGGAGCCUGCACGAGAAACUGCCGGGCUUGAGUGUGGGAGAGGUGAGUGGAAUUCCUGGUGUAGCGGUGAAAUGCGUAGAUAUCAGGAGGAACACCUGUGGCGAAAGCGGCUCACUGGACCAUAACUGACGCUGAUGCACGAAAGCUAGGGGAGCAAACAGG